AGCUCCAAUAGCGUAUAUUAAAGUUGUUGCGGUUAAAAAGCUCGUAGUUGGAUUUCUGUCGAGGUUGGGCGGUCCGCACUACGUGCGUGUAUCUGCUUUUCGGCCUUGGCAUCCUCUCGAUGUUCGUUACUGUGCUUGAUUGCAUGGUGCGGGGCUCGGGACUUUUACUUUGAGGAAAUUAGAGUGUUCACGGCAGGCUUUCGCCCUGAAUAUAUUAGCAUGGAAUAAUGAUAUAGGAUCUGAUGCCUAUUUUGUUGGUUUCUAGGCGUGAGAUAAUGAUUAAUAGGGACAAUUGGGGGGAUUCGUAUUAUGGCGUCAGAGGUGGAAUUCUUGGAUUGCCAUACGACGAACUACUGCGAAAGCAUUUCUCAAGGAUGUUUUCA
rnacentral:rRNA from 1 species